CCUACGGGGGGCAGCAGUGAGGAAUAUUGGUCAAUGGCCGAAAGGCUGAACCAGCCAAGCCGCGUGAGGGACGAAGGUGCCAAGCAUUGUAAACUUCUUUUGUCAAGGGGCAAAAUCAGGCUCGAGAGACUGAUCGAGGGUACUUGAAGAAAAAGCAUCGGCUAACUCCGUGCCAGCAGCCGCGGUAAUACGGAGGAUGCGAGCGUUAUCCGGAUUUAUUGGGUUUAAAGGGUGCGUAGGCGGGCUGUUAAGUCAGCGGUAAAAUUCCGGGGCUCAACCCCGGAGAGCCGUUGAAACUGGCUGCC
rnacentral:rRNA from 1 species